AAAUGUGAUGUGUAUAGUUUUGGAGGUGCUAGCACUAGAAGUUGAUGUGAUCUGAUCUGUUCUGCUUCACCCAAUUCAAGAAUCUCUCUCUACUAUAUAUGAUUAAGCCUUUUUCUGGGAUUAUGAAUGUUCCAAUUCGAUCUGCAAAAACCACACCAACGCUUCUCAUGCAUGCAUGCCUUGGAUUCAUUCUUAGCUUGGAAUAGAUCAGAUCCAGCAUUCUUUUUGAAGUCAACAAUUAUGGCAUCAACAAAUUUUGAUCGGUGGCAUACACAUUAUUUAUCACAUUCUAACAAGCAAUCAACUCGGUGAUGAAUAAGUGGAGAAGCUAGCUUACGAUUCUUGUUGCUUUCGCGCACAAAUUUUGCUCCUCCGGUUUUGGAGGAAGGUGUCUUCGGGGAGGCUUAAAUUUAACUGUGAUAGAUGUUUCUUUUUCGUUGUAUGGUGGUGUUGGGGGUGCUUGCCUUCUUGAUUCUGCAAAGAAAGGCAAUAUUAUUCCUCUAAUUUACUUUCACAGAUCACAAUAAGCCAAUUGUUUGGUCUUGAAUUUCCUACUCCCUAGAGGGUAGUAGGAAAUGUCAGGGUAUGUAUGUGAAGAGUUUAGUACUAUAAAUUAAUUUUGAUGUAGAGCUAGCGAGCAGCUUUAAUUAUAUUUAUUAUAUAUUGUGGUAGAUAGCUUCAAAUUUCUUCAGUAUUACUAGUUAAUACA